GACGAACGCUGGCGGCGUGCUUAACACAUGCAAGUCGAACGAGUGGCGAACGGGGGAGUAACACGCGGGUGAUCUGCCUUGCACUUCGGGAUAAGCCUGGGAAACAGGGUCUAAUACCGGAUAGUGCAAGAUGAGCUCGCGGCCUAUCAGAUUGUUGGUGGGGUAAUGGCUACCAAGGCGCGACAGGUAGCCGGCCUGAGAGGGGGUACGGCCACAUUGCGACUCAGAGACGGCCCAGACUCCUACGUGAGGCAGCAGUGGGGAAUAUUGCACAAUGGGCGGAAGCCUGAUGCAGCGCCGCCGCGUGGGGGAUGAAGGCCUUCGGGAUGUAAACUCCUUUCGCCAGGGACGCGGUACCUGUAUAAGAAGCACCGGCUAAUUACGUGCCAGCAGCCGCGGUAAUA
rnacentral:rRNA from 1 species